rnacentral:rRNA from 1 species
GGAAUAUUGCGCAAUGGGCGAAAGCCUGACGCAGCAACGCCGCGUGGAUGAUGAAGUUCUUCGGAAUGUAAAAUCCUUUUGCAGGGGACGAAUAUGCCGGCAUGCCAGCACUGACGGUCCCUUGCGAAUAAGCCACGGCUAACUCUGUGCCAGCAGCCGCGGUGAUACAUGGGUGGCAAGCGUUGUCCGGCUUUCCUGGGCGUAAAGGGUGCGCAGGCGGACCGGUAAGUCGGGGGUUAAAUCAAUGUGCUUAACACAUGCACGGCUUCCGAUACUGUCGGUCUAGAGUCUCGAAGAGGAAGGUGGAAUUUCUGGUGUAACGGUGGAAUGUGUAGAUAUCGGAAAGAACACCAGUGGCGAAGGCAGCCUUCUGGUCGAGAUCUGACGCUCAUGCACGAAAGCGUGGGGAGCAAACA